rnacentral:rRNA from 1 species
GACGAACGCUGGCGGCGUGCUUAACACAUGCAAGUCGAACGGAAAGGCCCUGCUUUUGUGGGGUGCUCGAGUGGCGAACGGGUGAGUAACACGUGAGUAACCUGCCCUUGACUUUGGGAUAACUUCAGGAAACUGGGGCUAAUACCGGAUAGGAGCUCCUGCUGCAUGGUGGGGGUUGGAAAGUUUCGGCGGUUGGGGGUGGACUCGCGGCUUAUCAGCUUGUUGGUGGGGUAGUGGCUUACCAAGGCUUUGACGGGUAGCCGGCCUGAGAGGGUGACCGGCCACAUUGGGACUGAGAUACGGCCCAGACCCCUACGGGAGGCAGCAGUGGGGAAUAUUGCACAAUGGGCGGAAGCCUGAUGCAGCAACGCCGCGUGCGGGAUGACGGCCUUCGGGUUGUAAACCGCUUUCGCCUGUGACGAAGCGUGAGUGACGGUAAUGGGUAAAGAAGCACCGGCUAACUACGUG